rnacentral:rRNA from 1 species
GAUGAACGCUGGCGGCGUGCCUAAUACAUGCAAGUCGAGCGAACGGACGAGAAGCUUGCUUCUCUGAUGUUAGCGGCGGACGGGGGAGUAACACGUGGAUAACCUACCUAUAAGACUGGGAUAAAUUCGGGAAACCGGAGCUAAUACCGGCUAAUAUUUUGAACCGCAUGGUUCAAAAGUGAAAGACGGUCUUGCUGUCACUUAUAGAUGGAGCCGCGCUGCAUUAGCUAGUUGGUAAGGUAACGGCUUACCAAGGCAACGAUGCAUAGCCGACCUGAGAGGGUGAACGGCCACACUGGAACUGAGACACGGUCCAGACUCCUACGGGAGGCAGCAGUAGGGAAUCUUCCGCAAUGGGCGAAAGCCUGACGGAGCAACGCCGCGCGAGUGAUGAAGGUCUUCGGAUCGUAAAACUCUGUUAUUAGGGAAGAACAUAUGUGUAAGUAACUGUGCACAUCUUGACGGUACCUAAUCAGAAAGCCACGGCUAACUACGUG